GACGAACGCUGGCGGCGUGCUUAACACAUGCAAGUCGAACGGUGAAGCGCCUUCCUUUUUGGUGGGUGUGGAUGAGUGGCGAACGGGUGAGUAACACGUGAGUAACCUGCCCCCUUCUUCUGGAUAACCGCAUGAAAGUGUGGCUAAUACGGGAUAUUCUGGGUCUGUCGCAUGAUGGGUCUGGGAAAGAUCUUGUUUCGGUGGGGGAUGGUCUCGCGGCCUAGCAGGUUGGUGGUGGGGUGAUGGCCUACCAAGGCGGUGACGGGUUGCCGGCCUGGGAGGAUGGGCGACACCAGAGGGGAGACACCGCGCCCCCGACUCCUGGAGGCAGCAGCGGGGAAUAUUAGUGCACGGUGGGCGGCAGCAUGAUGCAGCGACGCCGCGUGGGGGAUGGUGUCCGUCGGGUUGAGAACCUCUUUCGGGAGGGAAGCACGGCUGCCUCAUUUGUGGGUGGGUUGACGGUAGCUGGAGAAGAAGCACCGGCUAACUACGUG
rnacentral:rRNA from 1 species